CGCGCAAGCGAAUUAAGGGCGCAUGGGGGAUACCUAGGCUCUCAGAGGCGAUGAAGGACGUGAUAAGCUGCGAAAAGCUAUGGGGAGCAGCACAUAUGCAUUGAUCCAUAGAUAUCCGAAUGGGGCAACCCAGUGUAGUGAAGCUACAUUACCCUACGGGGGGCAAACGCGGGGAACUGAAACAUCUAAGUACCCGCAGGAGAAGAAAACAAUAGUGAUUCCGUAAGUAGUGGCGAGCGAACACGGAACAGCCCAAACCACCCUGGUUACGGCCAGAGUGGGGUUGUAGGGCCCACCAAGUGGUUAAAUAGCGAACUGGAAUGGCAUGGGAAGGCCAAUCGCAGAGGGUGAGAAUCCCGUACAGGCAGCGAGUUUAACUGAGUGGGUACCCUGAGUAGGUGGGGACCGGUGAAAUCCCCUCUGAAUCCGGCGGCACCAUCCGCCAAGGCUAAAUACUCCUGAGAGACCGAUAGUGAACGAGUACCGUGAGGGAAAGGUGAAAAGUACCGCGAGCAGCGGGGUGAAAUAGAACUUGAAACCAUGCGCUUACAAGCGGUCGGAGCCUUCGGGUGACGGCGUGCCUUUUGCAUAAUGAGCCUACGAGUUACGGUUACUGGCAAGGUUAAUGUUUGAAGAACAGGAGCCGAAGCGAAAGCGAGUCUGAAUAGGGCGAUUAGUCAGUGGCCGUAGACGCGAAACUUUGUGAUCUACCCAUGAUCAGGUUGAAGCGCUGGUAACACAUCGUGGAGGACCGAACCGGUAAACGUUGAAAAGUUUUCGGAUGAAUUGUGGGUAGGGGUGAAAGGCCAAUCAAACUGAGAAAUAGCUCGUACUCCCCGAAAUGUUUUUAGGAACAGCGUCGUGGUUGAGUCAUGUUCAGGUAGAGCUACUGAUAGGACUAGGGGGAGUCAAAUCCUACCAAAUUCUGACAAACUCCGAAUGGGGCAUGAUAUACACGGCAGUGAGGGCUGGGGUGCUAAGGUCCCAGUCCGAGAGGGGAACAACCCAGAGCAUCAGCUAAGGUCCCAAAAUAUAUGCUAAGUUGAACUAAGGGGGUCCGACUGCAGAGACAGCCAGGAUGUUAGCUUGGAAGCAGCUAUACAUUUAAAGAGUGCGUAACAGCUCACUGGUCGAGCGGGGCGGGCAUCGAUAAUAAACGGGCAUCAAGCAUAUUACCGAAGCUAUGCGAUUGUAUUUAUACAUAUCGGUAGGGGAGCAUUCUCACAGGGGUGAAGGUUGGGCGUGAGCCCAGCUGGACUGGUGAGAAAAGCAAAUGUAGGCAUAAGUAACGAUAAUGCGGAUGAGAAAUCCGCACACCGAAAGACUAAGGAUUCCUCCGCUAUGCUAAUCAACGGAGGGUUAGGCGGGGCCUAAGGGAUAGCCGACAGGCGACCCCCGAUGGACAGCAGGUUAAUAUUCCUGCCCCUGCAUGCAGUGUGAAAAAGUGACGGAGCGACGUGGAUGGUACGUACUGACGGAAUAGUGCGUUGAGCCGAGCCUACGGGCAAAGCGAACCAUCGAAGACGCUUCCAAGAAAAGCUUUUGAAACGCCAGCUGUAUGCAGCCCGUACCGUAAACCGACACAGGUAGUCGAGAAGAAUAUUCUAAGGUGCUCGAGUGAAUCACGGCUAAGGAACUCGGCAAAUUAACCCUGUAACUUCGGGAGAAGGGGAGCCUCCUCUGCAAAGAGAGGCCGCAGAGAAAUGGCCCAGGCGACUGUUUAGCAAAAACACAGGGCUCUGCCAAAACGAAAGUUGACGUAUAGGGCCUGACACCUGCCCGGUGCUGGAAGGUUAAGAGGGGAUGUCAUCGCAAGAGAAGCAUUGAAUCGAAGCCCCAGUAAACGGCGGCCGUAACUAUAACGGUCCUAAGGUAGCGAAAUUCCUUGUCGGGUAAGUUCCGACCUGCACGAAUGGUGUAACGAUCUGGGCACUGUCUCGGCCGUGAGCUCGGUGAAAUUGUAGUAGCGGUGAAGAUGCCGCUUACCCGCCACGGGACGGAAAGACCCCGUGCACCUUUACUAUAGCUUUGCAUUGUUUUCGGGUCAGGGAUGUGUAGGAUAGGUGGGAGGCUGUGA
rnacentral:rRNA from 1 species